AAAAUUGAUUGGAAAUUAUCUUUGUGAUCCUUAUGGCCCAUGGCCUAGUUUGGCUACCUUCAUUGCAUUUUGAAGGGUCGCCCAACUAAGCUCGGCCCAAGUGGUCGAGCUACGCUGUAAUUUGUGACAUAGGGGAUUGCGCUCGCGCGGCUUCUGU